UGGGGAAUUUUGGACAAUGGGCGCAAGCCUGAUCCAGCAAUGCCGCGUGAGUGAAGAAGGCCUUCGGGUUGUAAAGCUCUUUUGUCAGGGAAGAAACGGCCGAGGCUAAUACCUUUGGCUAAUGACGGUACCUGAAGAAUAAGCACCGGCUAACUACGUGCCAGCAGCCGCGGUAAUACGUAGGGUGCAAGCGUUAAUCGGAAUUACUGGGCGUAAAGCGUGCGCAGGCGGUUUUGUAAGUUUGUCGUGAAAUCCCCGGGCUCAACCUGGGAAUUGCGAUGAAGACUGCAAAGCUGGAGUCUGGCAGAGGGGGGUAGAAUUCCACGUGUAGCAGUGAAAUGCGUAGAGAUGUAGAGGAACACCGAUGGCGAAGGCAGCCCCCUGGGUCAAGACUGACGCUCAGGCACGAAAGCGUGGGGAGCAAACAG
rnacentral:rRNA from 1 species